AUUGAACGCUGGCGGCAGGCCUAACACAUGCAAGUCGAGCGGAGCGGCGGACGGGUGAGUAAUGCCUGGGAAUGUGCCUGGUAGUGGUGGAUAAGGUCCGCAAACGGGCGCUAAUACCGCAUACUAUCAGAUGAGCCUCGGUCGGAUUAGCUAGGUGGUGGGGUAAGGGCCUACCAAGGCGACGAUCCGGAGCUGGUCUGAGAGGAUGAGCAGUCACACGGGAACUGAGACACGGUCCAGACUCCUACGGGAGGCAGCAGUGGGGAAUAUUGGACAAUGGGCGAAAGCCUGAUCCAGCCAUGCCGCGUGUGUGAAGAAGGUAUGAGGAUUGUAAAGCACUUUAAGUUGGGAGGCGUUACCAGCAGAAGAAGCACCGGCUAACUUCGUGCCAGCAGCCGCGGUAAUUC
rnacentral:rRNA from 1 species